rnacentral:rRNA from 1 species
UACAGAGGUCUCAAGCGUUGUUCGGAUUCACUGGGUUUAAAGGGUGCGUAGGUGGGUUGGUAAGUCAGUGGUGAAAUCCCCGAGCUUAACUUGGGAACUGCCAUUGAUACUAUUAAUCUUGAAUACCGUGGAGGUUAGCGGAAUAUGUCAUGUAGCGGUGAAAUGCUUAGAUAUGACAUAGAACACCAAUUGCGAAGGCAGCUGGCUACACGAAUAUUGACACUGAUGCACGAAAGCGUGGGGAUCAAACAGG